rnacentral:tRNA from 1 species
GCCUUCGUGGUAAAGUGGUCAGCACGCUCGGCACGUAUUCGAGCGGUCAGGGGUUCGAGUCCCGUUGAGGACA